GAUUUCUCAAAGAUCAGGUGAACCAAGAAUGCUUCAAACUUUCAAAGUCUGAGAAAUUCUGGUGCAGUCACACCGUGGAGGUCUAGCAUUAGCCAAACAUGGCACAUGCAUUGUGGACUACUGAAGUGGUUUUGGCUUUUUUUUCAUAGACCUUCAGUUUACAGUGACUUUCUCUUUUUUUAUGUUUCUCUAAGAGAAAA
rnacentral:lncRNA from 12 species